AGUGGCGAACGGGUGAGUAACACGUGAGUAACCUGCCCUUGACUCUGGGAUAAGCACUGGAAACGGUGUCUAAUACCGGAUAUUUCAACUGACCGCAUGGUCUGGUUGUGGAAAGAAUUUUGGUCAAGGAUGGACUCGCGGCCUAUCAGGUAGUUGGUGAGGUAAUGGCUCACCAAGCCUACGACGGGUAGCCGGCCUGAGAGGGUGACCGGCCACACUGGGACUGAGACACGGCCCAGACUCCUACGGGAGGCAGCAGUGGGGAAUAUUGCACAAUGGGCGAAAGCCUGAUGCAGCAACGCCGCGUGAGGGACGACGGCCUUCGGGUUGUAAACCUCUUUUAGUAGGGAAGAAGCGAAAGUGACGGUACCUGCAGAAAAAGCACCGGCUAACUACGUGCCAGCAGCCGCGGUAAUACGUAGGGUGCAAGCGUUGUCCGGAAUUAUUGGGCGUAAAGAGCUCGUAGGCGGUUUGUCGCGUCUGCUGUGAAAACUGGAGGCUCAACCUCCAGCCUGCAGUGGGUACGGGCAGACUAGAGUGCGGUAGGGGAGAUUGGAAUUCCUGGUGUAGCGGUGGAAUGCGCAGAUAUCAGGAGGAACACCGAUGGCGAAGGCAGAUCUCUGGGCCGUAACUGACGCUGAGGAGCGAAAGCAUGGGGAGCGAACAGGAUUAGAUACCCUGGUAGUCCAUGCCGUAAACGUUGGGAACUAGAUGUGGGGGCCAUUCCACGGUCUCCGUGUCGCAGCUAACGCAUUAAGUUCCCCGCCUGGGGAGUACGGCCGCAAGGCUAAAACUCAAAGGAAUUGACGGGGGCCCGCACAAGCGGCGGAGCAUGCGGAUUAAUUCGAUGCAACGCGAAGAACCUUACCAAGGCUUGACAUAU
rnacentral:rRNA from 3 species